UUCUUGUUCAUCGAAAGCACAGCGACCCUGCUGCGAACGGCAUGACUAGCCGUCUCGCUCUCACCCAGCGACACCCGGGACUACGUUCAGCAACAGCUAUUGUUGUCUCUCUCUUAGUGGCAGUGCAUCCUUUAAUUGCACCACAAUACUAAAUCAAUCGAUUAACACGAUAUCAAGAUAUCUAAUUGCAAUUUCAACAGUGUAAUAUCGCACUGACACGACAUAUAUUUCUUACUUAUAUUUUUACUCUCACUUUCUAUUGGGCAACUCUAGAAACUAAAAUCUGUUUAAUCGUAGUCGGCUGUCUAAAAUACGUAAAACUCGGCAAGUUCAGCUCAAUGUUUGAUUUUGUUCAAUCAAACAUAAACCAGAAACCUUAACACUUCGUAACUUUUACAUUUUAUUAAAGUAUCAACUAUAUAAUAAACGUAUUUCAAAAUUGUAUAAAAUAUAUUUUUUUUUGGCAAAGUUCUGAAUUUAUAUCAUGAAGUUAAAUCUACACAACAUUUAUCAUUAAUUAAGGUUAUUUACAAUUUCAUAUAUUCACGAGCUCUAUUCAAUGAUGGCAGCCGAGAGCUAUGAUCUCAGUCGAUCGCAGCUGCAGCUCUAGAAGUCUGCCGUUGGCCCGCGGCGCGGACAUGUGGUGCCCCGGCUGGGGAUACUCCAUCUGCGGCAGGGUGCUGCUCUGCUAGAACGUUUCCCAAUUGCACCCCCUGAAGCAGCUGGGGUUGCGCUAUUUGGUGAUCUACAGCGCGAGAUGCUGUCCAUUCGCCGUCGGGAAGAAGAUACAGCUUCAGCAACCCAUUAGUCAGCAUCUCGAACAGCAGCAUCAGGCCGGCGAUAGGCCGCAGCAGCAACAGUGGCAACAGUAGCAACAGCGACAACAGCAACAGCAACAGCGGCAAGCAAUCAACCGCAAUAGACAUACAGAAGGGGAACGUGUGGAGGGCGGCGUUGACUAUGAAGACCGUCGCAGCUAUUGCAGAGGCCGUCCGGGACUUUCUUAGUCAAUUGGCUUUUCCGUCCUCGCAGCUCUAUUGUGGGGCUUGGCGUCUUGACCCCCGCCUCGUUGACUCUGGUGGCCAGGAAUGUGCAUCAGCUAAUUCAGUGGCUUGAGACCUGGCUACCCGGCUAUUAAAUAAUCAACUUUGUGUUGUUACGCAUGUCCGUGCUGCAAAAAACAUCCUAAAAAAAAAAAAAAAAAAAAAAAAAAAAAAAAAAAAAAUACAAAAAAAAAAUAAAAAAAAAAAAAAAAAAAAAAAAAAAAACAAAAACAAAACAAAAGUUUUUGUAGUCUUGCUUUUUCGCUAAAAUAUACUCUACUUAUUUUGAUUUAUGUAAGAUUUGCUAAUGGCAAGAAGCAACUGUAAAGCACUAAAUAAUCUGGUUCAAUUUAAUUCCUUUGUGGUCAUAAAGUCAUAAAAACUCUAGACAAGACUUCCUUUGGAAUUCUUUAACAUCUCGUUGCAUUCUCGCAUUAUAUAUGUAUUAUCCUCAAAAUACUAAAAACUCAACAUUUUUGUAUACUUUUAUAAAACACAAAUUAAAUGUAAAUGUAAAAGAAAAUAAUAUUCAUUUCACAGAUUAAUUAUGCAGCUUUAUUCAUAUGGUUA